rnacentral:rRNA from 1 species
GCCCAGGCCCACCUCAUCCUCUCGGGCUCCACUGUGAGCGAGCGAGACGAGAGGCGGAGCCGCAUCGUGCUUAGCCGCCGCCGCUCCCUGCUCGCGCUCCACCCCGCCGCUCCACACUUGCGCUCGGCCGCCGCCGCUUCCCGCUCACGCUUGGAGGCCGCCGCUAGAGACCUGGAGUUCCUACCUGUCGUGGCCAUCGCCGGUCCCGCCUCCCCUGCUGAGGCGCCGUCGGCGUCGAGCCGACCUAGACCAGACGGCCGCCGCUCCGUUAUCCGGAGGAUCUGAUCCCAUCUCCCGACGACCGACGCUCGUUCUCCUCCGGUGAUUCGGUCCUUCCCGUUCCGUUGCUCUCCACCCCGGUCGUGGGUCAGUGGGUGUGUUUUUGACCAGAUGCGAGAUCCCAUUUGUUAUACUGCAGCUUUGCCUCUGUAGUGUUGUUUCUAAAUUUGUACAAAAUAUUGUUAGGCUGUUAGCAGAAGUGCAGAACAUCAGUAGGCUGUGUUUUCUUAGUAAUUGUUGUUUUGUGAACAAAAAAGCUCCAGAGGACUAGGGAUGUGCCAUUUUUUGUUCUAGUCUUGCUGUCUUGCUGACAUUAUGUUCCAAAUAUAGAACUGAAGUUGAAAAGGAAUGGUGACAUCAAGUCUUUUUUUUGGAAUUAUGAGGCAAAAUCAAGAAAGGUUGCAGCCGAAGAGCAACCGGAACCUAAUAUUGAUCCACCUUCAGUCCAUUUGGAUGCAAAGAUUGACAUUGAUGUUGAUCCACCUCCUGUCCAUUCCGAUGCAGAGAUUGACAUUGAUAUUGAUCCACCUCCAGUCCAUUCUGAUGCAGAGAUUGACAUUGAUAUUGAUGAUGAAGCACCACGGCAACCAUCACCCCAACAUCCACAUGCAAGGUCAUAUAAUAUUCAAAGGCUUCCACCUGAUCCAGGGGAAAGGAUUCCUAUUUCGGAGUACAAUGUUGAUGAUCAAGAUGAAGUUCGGAGACGGUACAUUGCAAAGAAUGCAGUCCAACCAUAUGCACACAACUUUGAAGUCAAGAAAAUGUAUGGUAAAAAUCGACACUUCAACUUUGUUUGGUUUGAGAACUAUAAAUGGCUAGAAUUUAGUGUCAAAUAUGAGGCUGCAUUUUGCUUUGGGUGUUAUUUGUUCAAAGGCAAAUCGAAUGGGGGCCCUAAGGGUGAUGCCUUUGUUAAAGGUGGUUGGAAAAAUUGGUAUAGGCCUGAUGCAUUAGACAAACAUGUGGGUGGUAUUAACAGCAUUCACAACAAAGCUCAAGAGAAGUACAAUUUAUUUGUGGCACCCCAACCAUCAAUUGAUAACAUUAUGGUGAGGGUGUGUAAAGAGGAUUUACGUAUGUACAAGGCUAGGCUGACUUAUUCACUUAGAUGCUUGAGGUUUCUUUUGAACCAAGGAUUGGCAUUUCGUGGACAUGAUGAGAGUGAAGAAUCUAGCAAUAGGGGGAACUUUCUUGAACUUCUUAAAUGGCUUUCGAAAAAUGACGAAGAAGUUAAUAAACAUGUAUUGAACAAUGCUCCUGGGAAUUGCAUCUUGACUAGUCCAAAGAUACAAAAUCAAAUAAUUGAAUAUUCUGCGGCGCAUACAACUAAAAGAAUUAUUGAAGAUAUUGGUGCUGACCACUAUGCAAUCCUAGCUGAUGAGUCUAAUGAUGCAUCUCAUAAAGAACAACUUGCUCUCUGCAUACGAUUUGUUGACAAAUCAGGAAGAGGAUGUGAGAGGUUCCUUGGAGUUGUUCAUGUUGCCAAUACAACUUCAUUGUCACUUAAGGAUGCAAUUCAAACUUUGCUUAAAGAUCAUCAUUUGACUCAUAGUCAAAUACGUGGGCAAGGAUAUGAUGGGGCUAGCAACAUGAAAGGGGAGGUUAAAGGGUUGAAAACAUUGAUCAUGAAAGAGUCACCCUUUGCCUAUUACAUCCAUUGUUUCGCACAUGAACUUCAGUUGGUUCUUAUAGCUGUGGCAAAGGACAAUGAACCAUGUUUGUGGUUCUUUGAUCAUGUUUCUUACUUUCUCAAUAUUGUUGGAGUUUCUUGUAAGCGCCAUGACAUGCUUCGAGAUGUUAGAGCUCAAAAGGUGUUGGAAGCACUUGAAAUGGGUGAGAUUGAAAGUGGAAGUGGGCUAAAUCAAGAGAUGGGACUAGCUAGACCCGGCGACACUUGUUGGGGUUCUCAUUUUAAAACCAUUAUGCACAUUGUUAGCAUGUAUUCCACAAUCCUUGAAGUACUUGAUGCUAUUGGAAAAGAUCCUUCACAAAAAAGUGAGUGGACAAGAAUACGUGGAUUUGCUCAAGCCUUUGAAUCAUUUGACUUUGUUUUCAAUCUUCACUUGAUGCUUGUUAUUCUUGGCUAUACAAAUGAGUUGUCCAAAUCUUUGCAAAAGAGAGAUCAAGAUAUUGUCAAUGCAAUGACAGUUGUUAGUUUGGCAAAGAGUAGAAUGCAACACAUGAGGUCUCAUGGUUGGGAAGAAUUUCUUGCAAAGCUAACCUUAUUUUGCAACAAACAUGACAUUGAAGUUCCUUUGUGGGAGGAUAUUUAUGAGCCUAAUCAAAGAUCACGUCAGUAUUAUGAAGUACAAACAAAUGAUCAUCGUUAUAGAAGAGAAGUAUAUCUUGGUGUCAUUGAUCAAACCAUUCAAGAGCUUGACAAUCGGUUUGAUGAGGUUAAUACGGAGUUGCUUAUUUGCAUGUCGGCUUUGAAUCCCCUCAAUUCAUUUGCUUCUUAUGAUGCACUCAAGGUAAUGAGACUUGCUGAAUUCUAUCCCAUGGACAUUUCAAGCACAGAUUUGAUAAGGCUAGAAUUUCAACUUACUAAUUUUAUUGAUGAUAUGAGACAAGAUGAUAGGUUUAUACGGAGUUGCUUAUUUGCAUGUCGGCUUUGAAUCCCCUCAAUUCAUUUGCUUCUUAUGAUGCACUCAAGGUAAUGAGACUUGCUGAAUUCUAUCCCAUGGACAUUUCAAGCACAGAUUUGAUAAGGCUAGAAUUUCAACUUACUAAUUUUAUUGAUGAUAUGAGACAAGAUGAUAGGUUUAGAAAUGCAAGUAAUAUUGGUGAGCUCUCUAUUAUGCUUGUUGCAACAAAGAAGCAUGUUCUUUAUGAUUUGGUCUACUUACUCAUCAAACUGAUAUUGAUUUUACCGGUGGCGACGGCGAGUGUUGAAAGAGUAUUUUCAGCAAUGAAUCUAGUGAAAAAUAAGUUGAGGACUACUAUGAGUGAUGAUCGCUUGAAUGAUUGCUUGGUGACAUUUAUUGAACGGGAUGUGUUCAUGGAAGUAAGCGAAGAUGACAUAGUUGAUGCUUUCAUGGCAAUGCAAAAACGUAGAGUUACCUAG